UCAUAUGCCGGGAUGAUGCACCGCCACCCUCUCCUCACGCGGACGCGUUGGCCUGGAUGCCGCUGCUGCCCCAGUUCGCCCGCCACUGCAACCUUUGUCUCCUGAAGCUAAGCGUGCCUGCAGGAGCAAGGACUGCACCUGUUGCUUCUGACAUAUUACCUCGCAACAACGAUGGCAUAGAAGUGAUGCAGACAUCCUGGCACCCUUUUAGCAGCAGCCAUUUUGGGGUUACUGACAAGGGUUCUGUUCAUAUACCUCUAUUAUGUAUAUCAGAGCCAUUCAUUUAGUAUUUAGGUAAUCAUGUCAGUGUUCUUGUGUCAUAUAACUCUUCCACAAUUUAGGUAACCAAUCAUGCUGCUGCACAACAAUCUCACUUCAAAUAUUCGAUCUGUAUUCAUACAUGUUCUGUGGUUGCUUUUAUGUUAGAAUAAGUCAAUUGAUGGGGGAGAGAUCAGGAGCUGACUCAGAGCAUAACUACUGAAUGAACUUGAUACUACACCACAUGCAAAUGAAUGAGCUUUUUAAAAUAUUUCUAACCUGAUGUGAAACUCAAAUGAAUGUAUGGAAGUAUCAGUUCUUAUUAUUCUGUAGGUACAAUAUCUGCAUUAAGUAAUGCAAUUAAUCUUAGUGCAGAUCGCUCAACAGAUUAGCAGCAGGUGAAGUGAUAGACCAAGCAAAAUUGUCAGAGAAUAUUACACAUUGGAAGCCACAGAUCAACAAAAAGAGUCGAUUAUGAAAUACCUUCAGUUAAAGUGGUGAAAUGUGAUUGUCUAUUUGCAGCACGCCGAGGAUUGGUAUCUCCAGGAUCUAUUAACCAGUUUGGAUAUGUAAUACUCCCUCCGUUCUUUUUUAAUUGACUCGAAUUUAGUACAAGUUUGUACUAAAUCCGAGUCAAUUAAAAAGGAACGGAGGGAGUACAAAUGAGGAAAAUGAGGUUGUAUUAGGCGUAUGAACUGUAUUCUUUGGUACGAAACCUGAAUUUUCGUUUUGCA